CGCGACACAGAGCCAAAGAAUAAAACACAGCGUUUCGGUUCGCCAAAUUUUCUAGCCUCGUCUCUCUUCUCGCUGCCUGGCGAUUUCGUAGGCUCUUCUCUUUUUCCUUUUUUUAUUUCCUUUUUCUCUUUCUCUCUCACGAACCAGCGAUCGCCGACUUUUGUCUUUCUGUCUAUUUUUUCCGUCUCCAUCGGUAAGCCCUAGCCACUCUUAAUUCUCUUUACUCUCUUAAUUUCGUUGAGAGAUUGAGAAAAAAACUAUGCUUCGCUCUAAUUUUUACCAAUAUUUCUAGGGUUUAUCCACUUCGUCUUUUGGUUUAAUUUCCACAAUAAUCCAAUUAUUUUCCCAAAAAAUUUUCGAGCUACAAAGCGCGAAAAUCGAGGAUCUGAUACUUUUUUUUUGGUUUGGAUAUUUUAACUGCUCUUAUUGGUUAAUUUCGUAUUGAUUUCCCUAGAAUUUGGGCUCUUAUUUUUUUUUAUCAAAAAUUGGAAAUUUUGGCGUGAACUUGUUGUUUUCGAGGGUUUAGGGUUUAUAAGUAAACAAUUCAGAAGGAAUUUCUUGAUUGGGAAUUAGGAUUUCGGAUUUUUGGAAUUUAUACAUGGGUGCUGGGAGACAUGGGGGUUAUCAUGAUAACGAGUUUAGAGACAGAGACUCUGAUUUUCUGGUGACAAGGUGGGAAUUAUCUAAUUCUAGAGAUCAUGAGCCAUCUAGAAAUGUUAUCCGUGAUAAUGAAAGGGUCCGUGUACGGGAAGAUAGAGAUAGAGAUAGAGAUAGAGCUAGGGUUAGACAAAAGGAUAUUAAGGAGAGGGAAGUGAUAAAUGGUGGGUAUCGUUCCUCUUCAAGUAGAAGUGAUUCUGGUGGCAGUAGUGGUGGUGGUGGCGGUGGUGGUGGUGGUGGUGGUGGUGGAGGUAGUCGUGGGCCCAGGCGACGUGAGUUCUCUUUUAGGGUGGUAGAUAAGGAGCCUGGUGAAUUGUCUAGUGAAAGUGGGUCAGAGGAUGCCAUAGGAUCUGAGACAGUGAUUAAAGAUAGUGAGAUUGUGAAAGUAAUGGAGAACGGAGCCCAGCCUCCUGAGGAAAGAAAAAGAAAGUUUUCACCUAUAGUAUGGGAUAGAGAUGACAAGGAUUUAAGUAAUUUGUCCAAAAGUAGGAAUUCCCCAGCAGUUAUGGCCCUUCCUCCACCACUGCUGCAUAAAGCUUACCACAAGUCACCUAACAGUAUCUCUGGUGGGGCUGUACAGAUAUCUCCUGUUAGAGAAAGCAAAAGCCUGAAAUCACUGUCUCCUUCACCAGUUGCUGCUGCUGCUGAAACUGUUGGGUACUCUGUGCUGCAUUCUCCAGUCGAUUUGGAUUUGUCACCUCAAAAAGAACAGGUUAUCGACCAGGAUUCUGGGCAGCUAGAAGAUGAAGAUUAUGUACUGACCAGACAUAUAUCUUCCUCAAGAUGGGCAGCUGGUGAUAGUUCUCCAGUUGAUGAGGGUGAAAUUUUAGAAGAUGAGGAAAUGCCUAAAAGGAGGAAAAUGUUGGCUCUUUCAGAAUCAUCCCAUAACGGAUUACGGAAUAAGUUAGCAACUCCAGAGCUUGGGGAGCUUAAGAGGGAAGGCUCUGAGGGAAUUAGAGCCAGAUCAUCUGAAUCUGAUGAACGAGGUGCCCAUUCCAAGUCUGGAAGUAGGGAUGAUUACAACCCUGUUAAUGAUUCAGAGAAGGAUGACUACAUGGAGAUUGACAUUGAAUGUGAUAGAAAUGACAGUAGUGUUAGUGAAUCUGAUACAGGUUCUGAGAAUGAAAGUGAUUCACAUGGGACACCCGAGCCUCCAACUCCUCCUUUAAGAAGUGUAAACAUGCUUCAAGGAUGUAGAAGUGUAGACGAAUUCGAGAGACUAAAUAAGAUAGAUGAAGGUACUUAUGGUGUUGUAUAUAGAGCUAAGGACAAGAAGACGGGGGAAGUUGUGGCAUUGAAGAAGGUAAAGAUGGAGAAAGAAAGAGAAGGUUUUCCUUUGACCUCUCUGAGGGAAAUAAACAUUCUUCUUUCAUUUCAUCACCCAUCGAUUGUAGAUGUUAAAGAAGUAGUUGUAGGGAGUAACCUUGAUAGUAUUUUUAUGGUGAUGGAAUACAUGGAACAUGAUCUGAAAGGGCUGAUGGAGACAAUGAAACAACCAUUCAGCCAAAGUGAGGUUAAAUGCUUGAUGCUUCAGCUUCUGGAGGGUGUCAAGUAUCUUCAUGAUAACUGGGUUCUCCAUCGAGAUUUGAAGACGUCUAAUCUGCUUUUAAAUAACCUAGGUGAACUGAAGAUUUGUGAUUUUGGGUUGGCUCGUCAAUAUGGAAGCCCAUUAAAACCAUAUACUCAUUUGGUUGUUACUCUUUGGUACAGGGCACCUGAACUUCUUUUGGGAGCAAGACAAUAUUCCACUGCAAUUGACAUGUGGUCUCUGGGUUGUAUCAUGGCUGAACUACUAUCGAAAGAACCACUUUUCAAUGGAAAAACUGAAUUUGAUCAACUAGACAAGAUUUUCAGAACCCUUGGCACACCAAAUGAGACAAUAUGGCCUGGUUUUUCAAAGUUGCCUGGAGUCAAGGUCAAUUUUGUCAAGCAUCAGUAUAAUCUAUUGCGCAAGAAAUUUCCAGCCACAUCAUUCACUGGAACACCUGUUCUCUCUGAUGCAGGAUUUGACUUGUUGAAUAAACUUCUUACUUAUGAUCCUGAGAAGCGUAUAACAGCUGAAGCUGCUCUUAACCAUGAGUGGUUUCGUGAAGUUCCCCUUCCUAAGAGUAAAGCUUUCAUGCCCACUUUCCCUGCCCAACAUGCUCAAGACAGGCGUAGUAGAAGAAUGUUGAAGAGUCCAGAUCCUUUGGAAGAGCAACGCAGGAAGGAGUUGCUGCAAGGGGAAUUGGGUACUGGUGGUUUGUUUGGCUGAGAGAAAGUUCAUCCAUCAGUGUCAUUUGAUCUUCAUGUUUUAGAUUUUUCACAUUAUUGUUAGGUGGCCAUGAUUGAGGUGAGAGACAUGCAUUCAACGGAAGUUGCAAACUUUAUUUGUCAGAAGAUCAUUCUUGAUGCUUUUUAGCAGGCACUGAUGAUGAUUUGGCCGGAGAUAUUUUGUUUGCCUCUUCCUGUGAACCUGAUGUUUUGCAGGUUAAUUUGUUUUCCAGCUUUGUUCAUCAUAUAAAAAUGCAUCUGACACUGCUUGCAUCGCAAGACGGUUGGUGUGGAGUGGAGGGGGCAUUCUUUGCUUUUCAUUGACGAAGAAAUUGACAGUAACCAUUAUACAUCAAAGUCUCAAAGCAAGCAGGUUGAGGAGGUUAUCGUAUUGUGGAUUUUAUCUAACUUCCAGUUAGUUGUCCCUUCAGGCUCAGCAGAGUUCUAUUAAGAACUUCGGUAGGCAUACCAACAACAAAAUCACCACGAAGGAAAGGUCACCAGAAUAAACCGUAUACUAAUUCCUCUGGCCCAGCAGAAUGAUUAUGGAAUGAAAACUCGUCAAAAGCUCCCACGUUUGAGACCGAGGCUUUAUACCUUCAAAUCCGUUCGUUAAUACCCAUGCUUUAUGUAUUUUCUUUAAAAACCAAAGUACCGGAAAUUUAUUCUUAGAAUUAUGUUUUGUAACAUCGGUUGUAAAAUUCUCCUUCACUAAAGUUUCCAGAUUCGGACCAAGGCGAUA